rnacentral:rRNA from 1 species
CAAUAGCGUAUAUUAAAGUUGUUGCGGUUAAAAAGCUCGUAGUUGGAGUUCUGCCAGGUGACACUCGUCCGCCCAAGUGGUGUGUACAGGGUGUGCAUCUGGCCCUUUCAAGGGGAACGUGUCUGCACUUCAUUGUGUGGUGCGAGAUCCUUGACUUUUACUUUGAGGAAAUAAGAGUGUUCCAAGCAGGCUCUCGUCGUGCAUAGCUCAGCAUGGAAUAAUAGCAUUGGACUUCGUUUCUACGCUGUUGGUUGCAAGAAGCGAGGUAAUGAUGAAGAGGGAUAGUUGGGGGCAUUCGUAUUUAACUGACAGAGGUGAAAUUCUUGGAUUUGUUAAAGACGGACUACUGCGAAAGCAUCUGCCAUGGAUGUUUUCAUUGA